rnacentral:ribozyme from 11 species
AAAAAAACAAAAAAUCGCAAAAAUCCUAUUAAAUUUGCUUCUUUAAAAAUUAAAAAAAAAAAAGCCAUGACAUCGUUCU